rnacentral:tRNA from 1 species
AGGUCCUGGCCGGGAUCGAACCGACGACCUUCUGCGUGUAAAGCAGACGUGAUAACCACUACACCACAGGACC